rnacentral:rRNA from 1 species
CCUGCCUUGGAGUGGGGAGUAACAGCUGGAAACAGCUGCUAAUACCGCAUGAUAUGUCUGUAUCACAUGGUACUGGACAUCAAAGAUCUAUCGCUCUGAGAUGGGCUCGCGUCUGAUUAGCUAGUUGGUGGGGCAACGGCCCACCAAGGCGACGAUCAGUAGCCGGACUGAGAGGUUGGCCGGCCACAUUGGGACUGAGACACGGCCCAGACUCCUACGGGAGGCAGCAG